GCAGCUGUCCGGUGUAGCCGAGGAAUGCCACCGCUCCUGGCAGCCUGGGAGCUGACUUAUCUAGCAGUUCGCGCUCCCUUUCCGAAAAGUUUUCUCAUUAAGAUAAAGAAGGAACAUCUGAGCAACACAAAAGCUUAUGAUUUGCGACUAGAUUUGAAAUCAAGGCUACAAGAAAGACAAAAGUAUGUUGCUAAUGAGUAUUGCUCUUUCAUCUCCUAGACAAAAUGUAAGCCCGAGCAGCCUUGUCUUCUGCCUCAAGUUCUGACUGCGGGGCGGGGAAGCGGCGGAGGGAGGUAUUCAGGGUACCUUAAUUUUGAUUAAGAUUGGAAGGUGUGUUUGUUUAAACAGACUCUUUGUGGUAUAAACUUUAUUUCAUUAUUUAGUGUAUAAAGACAAAUUUGGUUAAAAGAUUAUUUUUAAAUGAUUUUUGUUUCCAUUUAAAAAGCUAAACUUCUGAAACUAAGAAGAUCUAGGAGUCUAUUUCUUAAAGGCCUUUAACAGAAUCAUAGGAUUUUGCUUUAAUUAGAUGGAAAUAUAUAUGUAAAACACACACACGCACACACACAUAUCUUAUCUCCUUGCCUUAUUUGUAUAGAAGAAAAAGAGCGAAAUGAUCUUGCCCAGACCCCAGCUCGGUCAGCAGCCGGCUAGCGGAGGAGAUAGAUAGCCUUUCCUGUGAUGAAGUGAGCCUGUGUAAGAGUCUGGGACCGAGUUACCACUACAAAUUUAGUUUUUCCUCCAUUGCAUUUUUCUCCCAUAAACACUAGAGUCUUCAGAGCAUUUUCCUAUCGCCAUUGUUUUUCUUUUCGCGCAGCUGCGCACAAGUUAAUAUUAGCCAUCCCCCUGCCGGUCCUCUCUGGGAGAUCUCGUUUAAAUUUACUGAGCGAAGGGAGGAGGACGAUAUAAUUAAUCUGUGCCCUCUUAGAAAAUUGAAAGAUUGGGGUGGACUGACUUUUCAAAAAGCUAACUUGUGCGUGGGAACCAGAAAGACUUGUGUUUUUCAUCAAAUGCAGAAAUCGGUAUUGGGGGUGGUGGAGAAAUUCACAUAAUGCAUUUUCCAUGAAAUAGCAUCGUUGUGGAGACCGCUCUUCCGAUGGGUUCAAAUGAUGCUCCUGCCUCAGCCUCCCAAAUAGCUGGGAUUACAGGCAUGUGCCACCACGCCCGGCU
rnacentral:lncRNA from 1 species